rnacentral:rRNA from 1 species
UACGUAGGGGGCAAGCGUUGUCCGGAAUCAUUGGGCGUAAAGAGCGUGUAGGCGGCCAUGCAGGUCCGUUGUGAAAACUCGAGGCUCAACCUCGAGACGCCGAUGGAAACCGCAUGGCUAGAGUCCGGAAGAGGAGAGUGGAAUUCCUGGUGUAGCGGUGAAAUGCGCAGAUAUCAGGAAGAACACCUGCGGCGAAGGCGGGUUGCUGGGCCGACACUGACGCUGAAGUGCGAAAGCUAGGGGAGCGAACGGG